UACAGAGGGUGCAAGCGUUGUUCGGAAUUACUGGGCGUAAAGCGCGUGUAGGCGGUUUAAUAAGUCGGUCGUGAAAGCCCUCGGCUCAACCGAGGAACUGCGAUCGAAACUGUUAGACUAGAGUAUCGGAGGGGGUGGCGGGAUUCCCGGUGUAGAGGUGAAAUUCGUAGAUAUCGGGAGGAACACCUGUGGCGAAAGCGGCGCACUGGACCACAUCUGACGCUGAGGCGCGAAAGCUAGGGGAGCAAACAGG
rnacentral:rRNA from 1 species